CAGGCCAGUGCACGUUGGCCGGUGCCGUGAGUGCUCUGAGGACCGGCCCACGGAGCUGACGCCAAGAAGCUCUUUGAGGUCAAGGAUCCACCAGAGAGUUCUGCACUGUGCUUUGCUGAGUUCUUAAGAUGGCCUCAGCAGCUGACAGCAAUGGCCCAAGAGUCCUGUAAAUCCAAAGUCAGCAUCCAGAAAUGGUGACCCUUCUAACACCACUCUCAUGCGAAGGCUCAAUGAUCUCAUCUUUGAAGAUAAGAAGAGGUGGGAUCUCUGGUGACUCGAUUGAAGUCCUCCCUGCCCCCCGAAACCUGCAGAGUACAGAGCUUUUGGAAUAUACACCACCCUGAUAUCAAAGGAAGGAGCCCUGUUGGAGGAAUUGACAUUUCCCCCUCUCAUCUCUGGGUUAAUGGGAAGACCUGUAUUCAAAGGUAUGAGUUUGGGGGCAGUGCUUGGGAUUUAUGACCAAUGAGUAAUUUCACUACAAAGCUGGAAAUGAAUGAAGUCUAU